UGGAGGCAAUCACUAGAGAGAUCGAAGUAGGAAUUUGAAAGUACUUAAAGUAAAUAAUUGCAAUUCAACAUAAACCAAUUUCUUCAGAUUAUGUAUGGGCGGACAAGAAGUAUCAGUAGCCUUCAACCUCAAAUUAGCUUCCAUUCUUUGCAGCUUUUUGUAACCUCUGCUUCUCAAGGAUCAGUACCUCCGUGGAGAAUGAAUUUGUUCGUUGGUGUUGGUGUGCGUGUUCAGUUUUGUUGAGGUAAUAAUAACAGAACUGAAGCAAAUAUUGGAAGCAGAAACAUCAUUGUGCUUAGUGCGAGACAUUCAUUACUUAUGAUGGUGUGUAUAAUGAAGCUGAAAUUUGAUCUGUAUUGGGCGUUUCAUUCCUGGGAAAGCAGAGCAAUCUGCAGGUACAUCACGACCCUGGUAGAGUGCAAUCUGCCUUGGCCGAACGAUGAAAUUCACACCAAGAUCGGAACAUCUUGGGCGAAAGGGUUUUCGGCAAAGGAGAUGCCGCUUUUUCCAGGAAAGACUGUCAAACUUUAACGGUAGUGGGAGGGCCGACCCCACCAUUGACGGGCAUUUCCGCAAGCAUCUGAGCGCCCUCUGCAGUCGGCAUGCAGAUCCAGUGGUGGCCUUGGACAAUGGCAGCGCGUCUUCAUUCGAUUCCCACUACUACAGAAAUUUGGAAAGCGGAAAAGGGCUUCUGUAUGUCGAUCAGGCGUUAAUGGCGGCACCCCUCACCCGCAGCAUAGUCGACUUGUACGCUUCCAAUCAGCAGCUCUUCUACCGUGAUUUCUCACUCGCCAUGGUCAAACUUUUCAACCUGAAUGUGCUCACAGGAAAACAGGGGCAGAUAAGAAAAGAGUGCUCUAAGCUUGUCAAUAGCAGCGGGAGGUCAAGAAAGCCCGUCACUGGCAAAUUGAAGUUGCUCUGGUACAGCCUCACUCCCGCUUCCAGUCGCUCAUCAAACAACCCAUCGAUUGCCCCUGCAUUGGCCUCUAUGUAGCCCAGCCUCUAUAAUUGAAGCUUCCAGCCUCUCAUCGAACAACAAGAAGCAUAAGUAGCCUUCGGCCUCAAAUGGGCUUCCAUUCUUUCCUGUUUUUAGUAAACUCUGCUUCCUCAAGAAUGCAAGAUCAGCGCCUCCGUGGAGAAUGACGCUGGGAAUUUGUUUGUCGGCGUUGGUGUGCGUGUCCUAUUGCACUUGGUGCCAGCAGGCACAAGCUAUGGUGCUUGGUGCAAGACAUUCCGUGGUUAUGGCAAUCUGUAGGUACAACACAAUUCAUUUAGCAGCCUGGCAGAGAGAAAUUCACACCAAGAUCCGCUCAUUCGGGGCGAAAGGGUUUUCAGCAAAGGAAAUGGAGAGCUCAGUGCCGCUUUUUCCAGGAAAGACUGUCAAAGUGGGAGAGCAUUGAGAGGCAUUUGAACUCCGUCGUCGUUCGAUUACAGAAAUUUGAAAUUUGGUUGGCAUUCAAUCGUAUCAUAGGGCUUCUAUAUGUCGACUUGUUCGCUUCCAAUCAGGAGCUCUUUUACCGAGAUUGCUCAAACUUUUCAACCUGAACGUGCUCACAGCAAAACAGGGGCAGAUAAGAAAAAAGUGCUCUAAGCUUGUCAGUACCAGCAGGAGGUCAUAUGAUGGGGCUCCUUUCAAAGAUCCAGAAGAAUCAUUUCCCUUUUAAUACAUUUUCUUUUCUGCCUGUCGAUUCUUUCAUGUACUACUCUGUAUAAUCUCUCUUUUGACCAUGGAAAA